ACCAGUUACAGAUUUCUUUGUUCCU
rnacentral:piRNA from 3 species